AUUGAACGCUGGCGGCAUGCCUUACACAUGCAAGUCGAACGGGGCAGGGGGCAACUCCUGUUCAGUGGCGAACGGGUGAGUAAAGCAUCGGAACGUGUCCCGUAGUGGGGGAUAACGCCGCGAAAGCUGCGCUAAUACCGCAUACGCUCUACGGAGGAAAGCAGGGGAUCUGCAAGGACCUUGUGCUAGGGGGGCGGCCGAUGUCCGAUUAGGUUGUUGGUGGGGUAAUGGCCUACCAAGCCUGCGAUCGGUAGCUGGUCUGAGAGGAUGAUCAGCCACACUGGGACUGAGACACGGCCCAGACUCCUACGGGUGGCAGCAGUGGGGAAUUUUGGACAAUGGGGGCAACCCUGAUCCAGCCAUGCCGCGUGCGGGAAGAAGGCCUUCGGGUUGUAAACCGCUUUUAGCCGGGAAGAAAAGGAUACGGAUAACACCCGUAUUUUUCGACGGUACCGGCGGAAUAAGCACCGGCUAACUACGUGC
rnacentral:rRNA from 1 species